rnacentral:rRNA from 1 species
GAUCCUGGCUCAGGACGAACGCUGGCGGCGCGCCUAACACAUGCAAGUCGAGGGGCAGCAUGGUCUUAGCUUGCUAAGGCCGAUGGCGACCGGCGCACGGGUGAGUAACGCGUAUCCAACCUGCCUUACACUCUUGGACAGCCUUCUGAAAGGGAGAUUAAUACAAGAUGUUAUCAUGGGUAAGCAUUUUCGCAUGAUUAAAGGUUUACCGGUGUAAGAUGGGGAUGCGUUCCAUUAGA